rnacentral:rRNA from 1 species
GAUGAACGCUGGCGGCGUGCCUAAUACAUGCAAGUCGAGCGAACAGAUGAGGAGCUUGCUCCUCUGACGUUAGCGGCGGACGGGUGAGUAACACGUGGAUAACCCACCUAUAAGACUGGGAUAACUUCGGGAAACCGGAGCUAAUACCGGAUAAUAUAUUGAACCGCAUGGUUCAAUAGUGAAAGACGGUUUUGCUGUCACUUAUAGAUGGAUCCGCGCCGCAUUAGCUAGUUGGUAAGGUAACGGCUUACCAAGGCAACGAUGCGUAGCCGACCUGAGAGGGCGAUCGGCCACACUGGAACUGAGACACGGUCCAGACUCCUACGGGAGGCAGCAGUAGGGAAUCUUCCGCAAUGGGCGAAAGCCUGACGGAGCAACGCCGCGUGAGUGAUGAAGGUCUUCGGAUCGUAAAACUCUGUUAUUAGGGAAGAACAAAUGUGUAAGUAACUAUGCACGUCUUGACGGUACCUAAUCAGAAAGCCACGGCUAACUACGUG